UACGUAGGGGGCAAGCGUUGUCCGGAUUUAUUGGGCGUAAAGAGCGUGUAGGCGGCUUUACAGGUCCGUUGUGAAAGUCAGGGGCUCAACCCUUGAAUGCCGGCGGAUACUGUCGGGCUAGAGUCCGGAAGAGGCGAGUGGAAUUCCCGGUGUAGCGGUGAAAUGCGCAGAUAUCGGGAGGAACACCGGUGGCGAAGGCGGUUCUCUGGGCCUUACCUGACGCUGAGGAGCGAAAGCGUGGGGAGCGAACAGG
rnacentral:rRNA from 1 species